rnacentral:tRNA from 1 species
GCUUUUAAUGGACAGUAGUUCUUCCAUCAGCCUUAGGAGCUGAACAUCUUGGUGCAACUCCAAGUGAAAGCA